ACGGAACCUUCGGGUUCAGUGGCGGAGGGGUUAGUAAUACAUGGGUAACCUGCCUUUGACUCUGAGAUAACGGUUGGAAACGACCGCUAAUACCGGAUACGGUGAGAGAAAGACAUCUUUUUCUUAUUAAAGUGGGAGAUCGUAAGACCUCACGGUUAAAGAGGGGCCCAUGCGAUAUCAGCUAGUUGGUGUGGUAAAGGCGCACCAAGG
rnacentral:rRNA from 1 species